GCCGGCGUAGCUCAGCUGGUAGAGCAACCGCCUUGUAAGCGGUAGGUCGCGGGUUCGAGCCCUGCCGCCGGCACCA
rnacentral:tRNA from 1 species